rnacentral:rRNA from 1 species
UUAUGAAGCCCGCCUGAGGAGUACGGUACCAAGAUUAAAACUCAAAUGAAUUGACGGGGGCCCCCACAAGCGGUGGAGCAUGUGGUCUAAUUCGAUGCAACGCGAAGAACCUUACCUACUCUUGACAUCCAGAGAAGCCAGCGGAGACGCAGGUGUGCCUUCGGGAACUCUGAGACAGGUGCUGCAUGGCUGUCGUCAGCUCGUGUUGUGAAAUGUUGGGUUAAGUCCCGCAACGAGCGCAACCCUUAUCCUUGUUUGCCAGCGAGUAAUGUCGGGAACUCCAGGGAGACUGCCGGUGAUAAACCGGAGGAAGGUGGGGACGACGUCAAGUCAUCAUGGCCCUUACGAGUAGGGCUACACACGUGCUACAAUGGCGCAUACAGAGGGCAGCAAGCUAGCGAUAGUGAGCGAAUCCCAAAAAGUGCGUCGUAGUCCGGAUUGGAGUCUGCAACUCGACUCCAUGAAGUCGGAAUCGCUAGUAAUCGUAGAUCAGAAUGGUACGGUGAAUAC